rnacentral:rRNA from 1 species
UGGGGAAUAUUGGACAAUGGGCGCAAGCCUGAUCCAGCCAUGCCGCGUGAGUGAUGAAGGCCCUAGGGUUGUAAAGCUCUUUCACCGGUGAAGAUAAUGACGGUAACCGGAGAAGAAGCCCCGGCUAACUUCGUGCCAGCAGCCGCGGUAAUACGAAGGGGGCUAGCGUUGUUCGGAUUUACUGGGCGUAAAGCGCACGUAGGCGGACUUUUAAGUCAGGGGUGAAAUCCCGGGGCUCGACCCCGGAACUGCCUUUGAUACUGGAAGUCUUGAGUAUGGUAGAGGUGAGUGGAAUUCCGAGUGUAGAGGUGAAAUUCGUAGAUAUUCGGAGGAACACCAGUGGCGAAGGCGGCUCACUGGACCAUUACUGACGCUGGGGUGCGAAAGCGUGGGGAGCAAACAGG